rnacentral:rRNA from 1 species
AAGAUCAGCGGCGGACGGGUGAGUAACACGUGGGCAACCUGCCUGUAAGACUGGGAUAACUUCGGGAAACCGGAGCUAAUACCGGAUAAUCCUUUCCCUCUCAUGAGGGAAAGCUGAAAGACGGUUUCGGCUGUCACUUACAGAUGGGCCCGCGGCGCAUUAGCUAGUUGGUGAGGUAACGGCUCACCAAGGCGACGAUGCGUAGCCGACCUGAGAGGGUGAUCGGCCACACUGGGACUGAGACACGGCCCAGACUCCUACGGGAGGCAGCAGUAGGGAAUCUUCCGCAAUGGACGAAAGUCUGACGGAGCAACGCCGCGUGAGCGAUGAAGGCCUUCGGGUCGUAAAGCUCUGUUGUCAGGGAAGAACAAGUACCGGAGUAACUGCCGGUACCUUGACGGUACCUGACCAGAAAGCCACGGCUAACUACGUGCCAGCAGCCGCGGUAAUACGUAGGUGGCAAGCGUUGUCCGGAAUUAUUGGGCGUAAAGCGCGCGCAGGCGGUUCCUUAAGUCUGAUGUGAAAGCCCCCGGCUCAACCGGGGAGGGUCAUUGGAAACUGGGGAACUUGAGUGCAGAAGAGGAGAGCGGAAUUCCACGUGUAGCGGUGAAAUGCGUAGAGAUGUGGAGGAACACCAGUGGCGAAGGCGGCUCUCUGGUCUGUAACUGACGCUGAGGCGCGAAAGCGUGGGGAGCGAACAGGAUUAGAUACCCUGGUAGUCCACGCCGUAAACGAUGAGUGCUAAGUGUUAGAGGGUUUCCGCCCUUUAGUGCUGCAGCAAACGCAUUAAGCACUCCGCCUGGGGAGUACGGCCGCAAGGCUGAAACUCAAAGGAAUUGAC